AUUGAACGCUGGCGGCAGGCUUAACACAUGCAAGUCGAGCGAGUGGCGGACGGGUGAGUAAUGCUUGGGAAUCUGCCUUAUGGAGGGGGAUAACUACGGGAAACUGUAGCUAAUACCGCGUACCAUCGGAUGAACCCAUGUGGGAUUAGGUAGUUGGUAAGGUAAAGGCUCACCAAGGCGACGAUCCCUAGCUGGUCUGAGAGGAUGACCAGCCACACGGGGACGGAGACACGGCCCAGACUCCUACGGGAGGCAGCAGUGGUGAAUAUUGCGCAAUGGGGGCAAGCUGAUGCAGCCAUGACGCGUGAAUGAAGAAGGCCUUCGGGUUGUAAAGUUCUUUCGGUAGCGAGGCGUUACCUACAGAAGAAGCACCGGCUAACUCCGGGCCAGCAGCCGCGGUAAUAC
rnacentral:rRNA from 1 species